UUUCAACUUGCAAUCCUCCUGCCUCAGGCUCCCAAGCCACUGGGAUUAUUACAGGCGUGUGCCACUGUGCCUGGCUGGGACACAGAUUUUAGAGGGCACAUUUGUUAUUUCCACUUGGCCAAUUAUGAGUUCCUGGUACUGGUGCACAUAGAGCCUGCUGAAGUUCAGGACCAAGUCGUGUGAGUGUGGGACCACUAUACAUCAGGGAAGCUGCCACAAACAGCCAAGGUACUUCCUUGGGAUUCAGAGCUGGCAUGCAUCCUCCCUGAUGGACAUGACUUGCCUGUGCUAGUGCCUGGAACUGCUUUGUGUUUUUGUCUAUAGGUGUGUUCUUGCUAACACCACCGUGGACUGGGUACAUGCCUACACCAGAGCAGCAAACCCUCUGCCUGCUGGGUACGCACCGAAGUGCCUGGGAGUUCUGCUGCUGGACUACCUGGCAAAUCCAGACUACCACUGGACAGCUAGAUGUGACGGGGAAAGACUUUUAUUGCCACUCAAUAUGGGAUGGCAAUGGCUUUUAUUAAUCCUGGUGAUGGGACUUGUUUUUGAUUGUAUGUUGUUACAAUGUGUAUUUCUGUUGUGGCCUAUGGGUGCAGGGCUCUGUCCUCCUCACUAAGGGGUCAUUGCAGAAGAUUUCAGAUACAUAGAUUGUUCGGUGAGGAAUCUUAAAGGGGUGGUGUUGGGGCAGGACCAGAGUGGUUAUAGUUAGGCUGUCUUGCCAAGGCUUCUGGUGAGCUAUGGUACGCUUUUAGUGUGUGGCCAAGGCCAUGAAUCAGCUAUGUCAUGGUCAGUGUGUAGUCAGGUCAGAAAUACUCUGAUUCAGCCUAUGUACUCAAGUUCAUGAACAUUCACUUGUUAGCAUGCACCCACUUCUGUAACCCAUUAGCCAUGUGCCUUCUUUGUUUGGCCUGCAUAUAAAAAAAAAGGCCUAUGGAAAUGGCUCAGGGGCUGGGUAGAGGCUACUGUCACUUCUGAAUAAAGAAUGGCCAAUAUUCCU
rnacentral:lncRNA from 1 species